rnacentral:rRNA from 1 species
UACGUAGGGUGCAAGCGUUGUCCGGAAUUAUUGGGCGUAAAGAGCUCGUAGGCGGUCUGUCGCGUCGGCUGUGAAAACCCGAGGCUCAACCUCGGGCCUGCAGUCGAUACGGGCAAACUGGAGUGUUGCAGGGGAGACUGGAAUUCCUGGUGUAGCGGUGAAAUGCGCAGAUAUCAGGAGGAACACCGGUGGCGAAGGCGGGUCUCUGGGCAACAACUGACGCUGAGGAGCGAAAGCGUGGGGAGCAAACAGG